GGGUUGUGAGGUUAAGCGACUAAGCGUACACGGUGGAUGCCCUGGCAGUCAGAGGCGAUGAAGGGCGUGCUAAUCUGCGAUAAGCGCCGGUAAGGUGAUAUGAACCGUUAUAACCGGCGAUACCCGAAUGGGGAAACCCAGUGUGACUCGUCACACUAUCAUUAACUGAAUCCAUAGGUUAAUGAGGCGAACCGGGGGAACUGAAACAUCUAAGUACCCCGAGGAAAAGAAAUCAACCGAGAUUCCCCCAGUAGCGGCGAGCGAACGGGGAGGAGCCCAGAGCCUGAAUCAGCAUGUGUGUUAGUGGAAGCGUCUGGAAAGGCGCGCGAUACAGGGUGACAGCCCCGUACACAAAAGCGCAUGUGCUGUGAGCUCGAUGAGUAGGGCGGGACACGUGGUAUCCUGUCUGAAUAUGGGGGGACCAUCCUCCAAGGCUAAAUACUCCUGACUGACCGAUAGUGAACCAGUACCGUGAGGGAAAGGCGAAAAGAACCCCGGCGAGGGGAGUGAAAAAGAACCUGAAACCGUGUACGUACAAGCAGUGGGAGCCCCACCACCAAAGCAUUUGCUGUACCGCGUUGACGGAGCGAAGCGACGUCAAACCGAUAAAACAGCAGUGUAAAGUGAGCCGCAGGGCGCUUUGCGCGACAGCGCAAAGGCAGGCGGUUUCGCGUAGCGAAAGCGAAUGCUUUGGGGUGGGGUGACUGCGUACCUUUUGUAUAAUGGGUCAGCGACUUAUAUUCUGUAGCAAGGUUAACCGAAUAGGGGAGCCGGAGGGAAACCGAGUCUUAAUUGGGCGUUAAGUUGCAGGGUAUAGACCCGAAACCCGGUGAUCUAGCCAUGGGCAGGUUGAAGGUUGGGUAACACUAACUGGAGGACCGAACCGACUAAUGUUGAAAAAUUAGCGGAUGACCUGUGGCUGGGGGUGAAAGGCCAAUCAAACCGGGAGAUAGCUGGUUCUCCCCGAAAGCUAUUUAGGUAGCGCCUCGUGAAUUCAUCUCCGGGGGUAGAGCACUGUUUCGGCUAGGGGGCCAUCCCGGCUUACCAACCCGAUGCAAACUGCGAAUACCGGAGAAUGUUAUCACGGGAGACACACGGCGGGUGCUAACGUCCGUCGUGAAGAGGGAAACAACCCAGACCGCCAGCUAAGGUCCCAAAGUCAUGGUUAAGUGGGAAACGAUGUGGGAAGGCCCAGACAGCCAGGAUGUUGGCUUAGAAGCAGCCAUCAUUUAAAGAAAGCGUAAUAGCUCACUGGUCGAGUCGGCCUGCGCGGAAGAUGUAACGGGGCUAAACCAUGCACCGAAGCUGCGGCAGCGACACUGUGUGUUGUUGGGUAGGGGAGCGUUCUGUAAGCCUGCGAAGGUGGCCUGUGAGGGUUGCUGGAGGUAUCAGAAGUGCGAAUGCUGACAUAAGUAACGAUAAAGCGGGUGAAAAGCCCGCUCGCCGGAAGACCAAGGGUUCCUGUCCAACGUUAAUCGGGGCAGGGUGAGUCGACCCCUAAGGCGAGGCCGAAAGGCGUAGUCGAUGGGAAACGGGUUAAUAUUCCCGUACUUGGUGUUACUGCGAAGGGGGGACGGAGAAGGCUAUGUUGGCCGGGCGACGGUUGUCCCGGUUUAAGCGUGUAGGUGUGUGUUCCAGGUAAAUCCGGUUCACUUUAACACUGAGGCGUGACGACGAGGCACUACGGUGCUGAAGCAACAAAUGCCCUGCUUCCAGGAAAAGCCUCUAAGCAUCAGGUAACAUCAAAUCGUACCCCAAACCGACACAGGUGGUCAGGUAGAGAAUACCAAGGCGCUUGAGAGAACUCGGGUGAAGGAACUAGGCAAAAUGGUGCCGUAACUUCGGGAGAAGGCACGCUGACACGUAGGUGAAGUGAUUUACUCAUGGAGCUGAAGUCAGUCGAAGAUACCAGCUGGCUGCAACUGUUUAUUAAAAACACAGCACUGUGCAAACACGAAAGUGGACGUAUACGGUGUGACGCCUGCCCGGUGCCGGAAGGUUAAUUGAUGGGGUCAGCGCAAGCGAAGCUCCUGAUCGAAGCCCCGGUAAACGGCGGCCGUAACUAUAACGGUCCUAAGGUAGCGAAAUUCCUUGUCGGGUAAGUUCCGACCUGCACGAAUGGCGUAAUGAUGGCCAGGCUGUCUCCACCCGAGACUCAGUGAAAUUGAACUCGCUGUGAAGAUGCAGUGUACCCGCGGCAAGACGGAAAGACCCCGUGAACCUUUACUAUAGCUUGACACUGAACAUUGAGCCUUGAUGUGUAGGAUAGGUGGGAGGCUUUGAAGUGUGGACGCCAGUCUGCAUGGAGCCGACCUUGAAAUACCACCCUUUAAUGUUUGAUGUUCUAACGUGGACCCGUUACCCGGGUUGCGGACAGUGUCUGGUGGGUAGUUUGACUGGGGCGGUCUCCUCCUAAAGAGUAACGGAGGAGCACGAAGGUUGGCUAAUCCUGGUCGGACAUCAGGAGGUUAGUGCAAUGGCAUAAGCCAGCUUGACUGCGAGCGUGACGGCGCGAGCAGGUGCGAAAGCAGGUCAUAGUGAUCCGGUGGUUCUGAAUGGAAGGGCCAUCGCUCAACGGAUAAAAGGUACUCCGGGGAUAACAGGCUGAUACCGCCCAAGAGUUCAUAUCGACGGCGGUGUUUGGCACCUCGAUGUCGGCUCAUCACAUCCUGGGGCUGAAGUAGGUCCCAAGGGUAUGGCUGUUCGCCAUUUAAAGUGGUACGCGAGCUGGGUUUAGAACGUCGUGAGACAGUUCGGUCCCUAUCUGCCGUGGGCGCUGGAGAACUGAGGGGGGCUGCUCCUAGUACGAGAGGACCGGAGUGGACGCAUCACUGGUGUUCGGGUUGUCAUGCCAAUGGCACUGCCCGGUAGCUAAAUGCGGAAGAGAUAAGUGCUGAAAGCAUCUAAGCACGAAACUUGCCCCGAGAUGAGUUCUCCCUGAGACUUAGAGUCUCCUGAAGGAACGUUGAAGACGACGACGUUGAUAGGCCGGGUGUGUAAGCGCAGCGAUGCGUUGAGCUAACCGGUACUAAUGAACCGUGAGGCUUAACCUUACAACGCCGAAG
rnacentral:rRNA from 2 species